rnacentral:tRNA from 1 species
GGAGAGGUGUCCGAGCUGGCUUAAGGAGCACGCUUGGAAAGCGUGUGAGCUGUAACAGGUUCCCAGGGUUCGAAUCCCUGCCUCUCCGCCA